UACGGAGGAUGCGAGCGUUGUUCGGAAUCACUGGGCUUAAAGCGCGUGUAGGCGGCUAGUUAAGUGUCAAGUGAAAUCCCUCGGCUCAACCGAGGAACGGCUCGGCAAACUGGCUUGCUUGAGGUACGUAGAGGUGACUGGAACGACGGGUGGAGCGGUGAAAUGCGUAGAUAUCCGUUGGAACGCCGGAGGCGAAAGCGGGUCACUGGGCGUAUCCUGACGCUGAGACGCGAAAGCGUGGGUAGCAAACAGG
rnacentral:rRNA from 1 species